GACAGAGGUCCCGAGCGUUAGGCGGGAUCACUGGGCUUAAAGCGUGUGUAGGCGGAUUUGUAAGUACCUUGUGAAAUCCCACAGCUUAACUGUGGAACUGCUUGGUAUACUGCUUAUCUUGGGCCACUUAGGGGUUACCGGAACAAACGGUGGAGCGGUGAAAUGCGUAGAUAUCGUUUGGAACGCCAAUGGUGAAAACAGG
rnacentral:rRNA from 1 species